UCCUCCGGAGGACCCCGCCAUACUGAUCAUCAUUAAAGGAACCGACGGGGCCCCCCACACGCGGAGGAACAUGGGGUAAAGGUCGACGCCUCGCGAAGACCCCCCCAGGUGCAGACAUUUUGUGAAAACCCUAGAGAUAGGGUUUCUCCUUGGGGCGCAGAGUUACAGGUGGCGCAUGUUUGUCGUCAGCUCGUGUCGUGAGAUGUUGGGAUAAGUCCCGCAACGAGCGCAACCCUUGAUUUUAGUUGCCAUCAUUAAGUUGGGCACUCUAAGGUGACCGCCGGUGACAAACCGGAGGAAGGUGGGGAUGACGUCAAAUCAUCAUGCCCCUUAUGACCUGGGCUACACACGUGCUACAAUGGACGGUACAAAGAGCUGCAAGACCGCGAGGUGGAGCUAAUCUCAUAAAACCGUUCUCAGUUCGGAUUGUAGGCUGCAACUCGCCUACAUGAAGCUGGAAUCGCUAGUAAUCGCGGAUCAGCAUGCCGCGGUGAAUACGUUCCCGGGCCUUGUACACACCGCCCGUCACACCACGAGAGUUUGUAACACCCGAAGUCGGUGGGGUAACCUUUUGGAGCCAGCCGCCUAAGGGGACAGAAU
rnacentral:rRNA from 1 species